GAUGAACGCUAGCGGCGUGCCUAAUACAUGCAAGUCGAGCGAAUGGAUUAAGAGCUUGCUCUUAUGAAGUUAGCGGCGGACGGGUGAGUAACACGUGGGUAACCUGCCCAUAAGACUGGGAUAACUCCGGGAAACCGGGGCUAAUACCGGAUAACAUUUUGAACCGCAUGGUUCGAAAUUGAAAGGCGGCUUCGGCUGUCACUUAUGGAUGGACCCGCGUCGCAUUAGCUAGUUGGUGAGGUAACGGCUCACCAAGGCAACGAUGCGUAGCCGACCUGAGAGGGUGAUCGGCCACACUGGGACUGAGACACGGCCCAGACUCCUACGGGAGGCAGCAGUAGGGAAUCUUCCGCAAUGGACGAAAGUCUGACGGAGCAACGCCGCGUGAGUGAUGGAGGCUUUCGGGUCGUAAAACUCUGUUGUUAGGGAAGAACAAGUGCUAGUUGAAUAAGCUGGCACCUUGACGGUACCUAACCAGAAAGCCACGGCUAACUACGUGCCAGCCGCCGCCGUAA
rnacentral:rRNA from 1 species